rnacentral:rRNA from 1 species
CGCGACCUCAGGUCAGGCGGGGCUACCCGCUGAGUUUAAGCAUAUCAAUAAGCGGAGGAAAAGAAACUAACAAGGAUUCCCUUAGUAACGGC